GAUACCACCUCCACAGGAUCUUUUCGAUACCAUACAUUGCAAUAGAAAGAAAGAAGAAAUAAAACAGAAACAAUCAAAUACAUGGAUCAGCCAAAAAGCUCACCUCUAUGGGGUAUGCAAGCUUCACUAUAAGAAAACAGAAAAUUAUAAGAGGAGAUCACACCCUCAACCUUCAUGCACCCAAUCUCUCCCUCAGAAGAAGCUCUCCCUCAUAAAAGCUCUCUUUAGGAAGAUCCCUCUGAAUCUCUGAAGCAAUCACUGUUCACUACCUAAUAGUCUGCCUGAAGCACCCUACUCCUGCUCUCUGUCGGUGCCUCUCUUCAGGAUUUGCUGCUACUGAACCACCCUCUGUUCUAUGCAUGAGAUCCUGCUGAUCGCCCCUCUGCUACCAUGUUCAUCCAUAGGUGCCUUUAAAGGCC
rnacentral:lncRNA from 1 species